rnacentral:misc_RNA from 1 species
UGGUUCUGGCAUCGAUGAAGAACGCAGCGAAAUGCGAUAAGUAAUGCGAAUUGCAGAAUUCCGUGAGUCAUCGAAUCUUUGAACGCACAUUGCGCCCGUUAGUACUCUAGCGGGCAUGCCUGUUCGAGCGUCAUUUCAACCCUCAAGCCCUGCUUGGUGUUGGGGUACUACAGCUGCUGUAGGCCCUUAAAGACAGUGGCAGGCUCGCUACAACUCCGAGCGUAGUAAUAUACGCCGCUUAGGGUGUUGUAGCGGGAUCUAGCCCCCCUCUAUAAUUUCUUCAGGUUGACCUCGGAUCAGGUAGGAAUACCCGCUGA